GAGGGUAUAGCUCUGUGGUAGAGCACGUGCUUGGCAUGCACAAAGUCUUGGGUUCAAUCCCCGGUACCUCUA
rnacentral:tRNA from 1 species